AGCGAACGCUGGCGGCAGGCCUAAUGCAUGCAAGUCGAACGGCUCUUCGGAGCAGUGGCGGACGGGUGAGUAACACGUGGGAACGUGCCCUUUGGUACGGAACAACUGAGGGAAACUUCAGCUAAUACCGUAUGUGCCCCCAUUCUUAGCGGGAUGGGUGGGAAAGAUUUAUCGCCAUUGGAGCGGCUCGCGUUGGAUUAGCUAGUUGGUGGGGUAAAGGCCCACCAAGGCUACGAUCCAUAGCUGGUCUGAGAGGAUGAUCAGCCACACUGGACUGAGACACGGCCCAGACUCCUACGGGAGGCAGCAGUAGGGAAUCUUGCGCAAUGGGCGAAAGCCUGACGCAGCCAUGCCGCGUGAAUGAUGAAGGUCUUAGGAUUGUAAAAUUCUUUCACCGGGGAAGAUAAUGACGGUACCCGGAGAAGAAGCCCCGGCUAACUUCGUGCCAGCCGCCGCCGUAA
rnacentral:rRNA from 1 species